rnacentral:lncRNA from 1 species
GUCUGAUUCUCUUUGUGCCUGGCAAAGAAAAACAGUAGAGAGGAAGGGAAUUGGUGUCUGUUCAGUAUGGCAGAGUGCGAGAGGUAGGGAAAAUCAGAAUUAAGCAGAUGUAACUGAGGAAUCAGGUUUUUAAGAAUAUAGCCAACGACCUUGGGAUAGCUCUCCUAUUGAACCUCCUUUUGACAAAACCAGAGUGACUCAAUCUUACUCACAUCAUGAGAUCUCCUCCUUUGAAAAGUCAGGCCUCUGCCAUUAAUGCUUAACACCUCCCUCCUUGUCUCUGGCAUGAACACUCUCACCAUCGUAACCCUGGAGUCCUGCAAUAUGUUGCCUCAGAGAUAAGCCUCUCCUCAGGGAAUCGUAGAAACAAGGGUGGAAAGCACUUCAAGAGGUAACCUAACCCCUGCUGUUCCCUCAGGCAGGGGAAGGCAGAUUGCAUAUAUGGACUGGGUGGGCUCUGCAUGGGCAGGGUUUGUUCACUGGGGAGCUGUUAAAUAGCAUGUUGGGAGAACUGUGAGGUAAUGAGAACAGCUUUGUGUUCACGUGGUAUUGGAAACCACCAGGUAGAAAUGAGGUGCUUUCUGGUGACAGUGGAGAGGAAAUAAUAUAAGAACACGAGUAAGAGUGCAGCAGGAUCGCCUGUCAUCGCCUGUGGUGGGGGUGGAGAAACCUGGUCCUUCCAUGCCACCUAGUGUAGGAAGCUGAGCAGCAGCCCUGCGAGGAUGGGCUCUGCAAGGUGGGGUCGUUAAGCAGGAAAUAACGGAGACCUGAAGCCUGCCACAAAAUGAGCCACCUCUGCCCUACAGGCAAACCCCUACUCAGUAGCUUGAUUUGAAAUUCUUCAUUUUUGGAAAUUAAAACUGAACUGUGGCUAAAAGGAUAUAGUGCCUGGUUUAGUGUUCUUUCUUUUUAUUUUCCUUCCAGGAUAGGAUAAAUUUUUCAUUUUUUGGUUGAUUCGUGUGGAAAAGUUAAGUUAUGGUCUUUAUAGCAGUUGCUCUAGAACACAGCAAUGGAUAAAAAUGGCCCAGAGUUACGGUGUGCAGUUUAAUUGCUAAACAGUGCUUCAGAUGGGUAGUUAGGAAUAAUCCUCUCUGUAACCAGCUAAACCAAGGACCCUUGAUCUUACUCUGAAACCUUUUGUGCUAGUUUCUCUUUGAGAAAGAAGAGCAGAUGAGAUCCAAAAUAAUUCUGAUAGCUAUUCUUAUGUUGGAAAAAAAUCUAUAUCAUGUCAAUAGACUCUUUCAAAACUACUUCUUAACAGAUUGCAGUGUCAGGCUGGUAUGUCACCAAUUCUGGAAUAACCAGAUAGCUAUAUAUAUUUCUCCCAGAACACCCAUGGACAAGGGCACCUGCAUGCUGUCAGAUUGUUGCAUGCAUAAGAUAUGAACUGUGUUUAUAAGCAGCUUCUGAGAGUAGCACCACACAAGUCGUAAUUGUUACUUUAGUAAGAGGGG